rnacentral:lncRNA from 1 species
AUACUAUAACAUUUAGAGAAAACCUUAAUAUAAAACAUUUAACUUUAAAAAUUAAUAUUUUAUUUAUGGAAGGUACCACUAAAUAGUAAUGAGCAUUAUUUAUAUAAAUAGAUUAUUACAAAUAUAAAUCACAUAUACACUAUAGUGGUAGUUAUUUUUUCCACAUUUUAUUUUGUAUAUAACAUAAAGUGUUCCAAUAAGACUUUUAUCUUGAAUCCAUA